UGGGGUGCUCGAGUGGCGAACGGGUGAGUAACACGUAAGUGAUCUGCCCUGCACUGGGGGAUAAGCUUGGGAAACUGGGUCUAAUACCCUAUAGGACCGCAUCGUGGUUGGUGUGGUGGAAAGGUUUUUCUGGUGUGGGAUGAGCUUGCGGCCUAUCAGCUUGUUGGUGGGGUAAUGGCCUACCAAGGCGGCGACGGGUAGCCGGCCUGAGAGGGUGUGCGGCCACAUUGGGACUGAGAUACGGCCCAGACUCC
rnacentral:rRNA from 1 species